GUUUGUUUAGAUUUAAAAGUUGUAUUCCCCCUCAUAGAAAACAAUGGAAGUAGUAUAAAUCCACUGUUCGGUCAAGCUGUUGACAUCAUAAAUCAUUUUUUAACAUUUUACAAUUUGAUGCUAUCGUCUUUAAUGUAGAAGGCUAAGCUAGUUACACAACAACUCGAGCUAACAUAGCUAAUGUAUUAUUCACACAUUUCUAGCAUACUUCUAUUACUUACAGUUUCAUUGUUUCCUCCAAUGACAUAAAUAGUAGGCACGGACUCCGCCAUUAAAAGUAGUUUUUCGGAAAAUCCAUCUUUUUGUUGUGAAGCAAGACUCUUCGUGGCAAUCACGGAAGUUGAAGGCACAUUGCCACAAAUUAUAUGAGUUAAAAGUAAGGUACUUUCUACUUCAGAUGAGGCUGGUACAGGCAAACAAACAGAGCAUUUUCCUUCAUUGGGUUUUAUCAUGGAAAUGUUGUGGUACAGCCGGUAUUAUGUACAUUAAAAUAGGCUACCUCGCACAAGGAUGUUCGGGUACAUUUCUACCAUCAAUGAUUAAUUCGCUGACAUCACACUUCAACAAAACGUCAUACUUGAUUAAAAUAGAGGAACUAUGAAGGAAGGCAAUGCCAAUAUCUCUGCAAUGCCUCCACGGUUUGAUUUCAAAUUUUCGGGACUUACGCAGAUCCCUAAUACACAUAGGCACGUACCAGUAAGUUGGAAAAUUUGGUUUUGCAAUGGGACAGUUCCUGUAAAAGUUCCUGCUAGGGAUGGGGAUUGAUAAAAUUUUUCCGGUUUCAAUUCUACUUUCGAUUCUGCUUAAAUGUAGUUGGAUGAAAACAUGCAACUGACUACAAUUGAACAUUCACCUACCGGAAAUGCAAACUUUUGACCACAAACUUAGUCGCUGCUUGGUGACAUUCGUCCAGUGGCAGAAGCGAACUGGGGCUGCCCGCCUUGAAGCCAGUCAGAAUCUGUUUCUCGUCAUGCUCAUCUAAAUGACAAGGCAUUUAUUUCUAUUUAACAAAAAAUUGCGCUAGUUGGAGGCGUUAGUACUUGUUGUAUUCAGAUAAGGUGCUAGCGUUACUGUUGCUGGGAUGAGAUCGAAACGGUUCAAAACAACGACUUUCACUUAUAUUUAUUGCAUGCUAUGUGUUCAAAUGUUUCAGCAUAUUGCUUGCAUGUCCUCCUCUUGAUGAACUAGCAGCCUUAUAAUUAUUACAAGUAGCACUGUUGCCAUCUUUUCUUGUAAAAUGUAGUCAACUGAAGAGCGUCUGUUGCUUUCCAGUCACUGCAAGACUGUGAGACACCCUUAUGGAAAGUUUUGGCCAUAGGCCGUAAGGUGAACCCGUUUUUCGUUUCAUCUCGUUCCCAUAUCUGGGCACUAAAUCAUUUUUGGUUCUUAAAAAAUAUAUUUUGGUUUUCAAUGAGAAAAAAAAAGUUCUCCACUGGAGAUCCAGGCAAUUUUUUUAAAUUAGUGUUUAAAGUCGGGACUAUUUCUUGCUUGGCGUAACAAUAUUUUCGUUUUAGGUGACGUUUUUGUCACGUGCUUCACAUUUGACCAAUCGGGUAGCCGCGCAGAUCCAAGAUGGCGAUGUCAACAACGUCUAGCGAUGAAGAGGAAAAUACUCUAAAACACCUUAAAAAAGUUAGAAAAAAGAACAACAAAAUAUGCUACAUGCAUGUUACGUCUGUUAGGAAUGAAGAGGUGAAUGAUUUCACUAUCAGAAGGUGGGAUACUUACAGGAAUUGUUUAAAACGGUGGCUUUGCUGUGAUGGAGAGUCUCAUAAAGUAGCCGAUACAUUCACAUCCUGUAUCGAUGUUGAAUUGAAAGAUAUUCCUGAUGACGCUGGGCUUCACCCGACUUGUUACCGGCGGUUCAUUGACAAGAAGCGUUUGGAUUCUGCCGAAAAACUGGCCAAAUGGCUGGAUGUGGGUAUAAGAUGAGUUUGUGGCAUCGGACAUUCCAAAGAAAAAACUAAGAUCGAAGACGGGCCUGCCUAUCGGUUCUGCUGGCGCUGUGAUCCCUGCCAUUUGUAUCAUUUGCAAGAGAACGGACAAGAGAAUUACUGUGGGAGGCAAACGGCAGAGGGACCAUCUUUCACAGGCAGAAACGCUUUCAGCAGGCCAGUUGAUGAACGCUGCCAGGAUAAAGCAAGACAGUAGCAUUCUCUUGCAUAUUGAAGACAGAGACCGUGUAGCCAUGUAAGUGCGGUACCACAAGUCCUGUCAGCUUCAUGACAAAGUCUGAUGUAACACUUACUGGAACCGCAGAUGAAGAAGUAAGUGAACCAACCUUUGAUGCCAGCUACAACAUAUUCUGCGAGAGGAUCAUCCGCCAAAGGAUAAUUGUUAAUCAGGAGGUGCUGAGAAUGAACCAGCUACGACCAAUGUUUUUAAAUACGGUGCAAAAACAUGAAGAUUGUGAUGCUUCAAACUACAGGCAGGAUAAAUUAAAGAGAAGGCUGACUCUGGACUUUCCCCAACUGGUGUUUCAAGCGUAACAUCUACGAACUGGUUUUUGUUGAGACAUUGUCUGCAGAUAAGCGGAUAGACAGGCUACCUCAUCCAUCAGGUACAGACACAACUGAGUCAACUGAAGUAAGCCAAGGUGAAAGUGACACUGAACACAUGGCAAGAACAACAGCCGGUCCGCAAACUACUUGGAAUACGAGGACACUUUAUAGUGCAGCGCUGAUAUUGAAGCAGCUACUAUGUGACUCUCCCGGUAUGACGUGCCCCUGGCCACCCACAUCAGAUGAUUUUAAUGUGUCCCAUGUAAAAUCUGUUGUGCCACUUGAGGAACCAAUAUUAGCCUGUUAUGUUGAUAUUCCAGAAGAUGUGAACCUAAAAGUGAUAUCUGUUUGUCAAGACAUUACGUAUCUUGCGCGACCCCGAAGGGAAUAAGCGGUAGAAAUUGGAUGGAUGGGUAUCUAAAGGUCGGAGGCAGACACCCAAAUCAUUAUGUCUUGGUCUAAGUAUUGGACAUUUAACAGGUUCCUCACAAGUUGUGUCACUGCUGAGUAGACUAGGACAUUGUGCUUCAUGAGACAUUCUCUCAAAGGUAUAAUGUCUGCCCCUUCACCCAAUGGCAAUGGAUGGCACAUUGCGGAUGGGGAGUUAAAAGUUACAUGGAUGACUACAAAUCCUGCCCCUGAUAGUGUGUUAAAGGUAGUCCACUGCAGCUGCAAAUGUGAGACAGGAAGAUGUUCCUGUAUGUCUGCAAGACUGUCCUGUACUGAUUUGUCGCUGACAAAAUUGUGCCAAUAUUUCCAUGGAAACAGCAUAAAAGCACAUGGGAAGAUGGCUCUGAUAGUGAUAGCUAAGAGAUGAACAAUGUCUCCCUCAUUCAGAAUACGCAGUCACACUUAAUCAGUUAGUUCUCUAAUAAAAAUUUGAGUUUUUGCCCCAUUUGAGAAAAAUCCCUCAGAGUAUUUUACUAUUUUUUUUUUUUUUAGUUACUUCAGUUAAAUACUUUAAAAAUAGAAUGUGAGGUUACAGUGCACUUGACCUUAAAAAAAUUGUAAUAAUCAUAGUUUGAGUUUGUGCCAAAUUUGAGGAAAAUCUAUCAAAUAAUUAUUGAGAUAUGGCUUUAAGAAUGUGCAACGUUAAGACAAAAUAAUAAAAAAAUGUAUUUAAAACAUACCCAAGACCUGCUGUGACAUCAACACAUUGUUUUGUUCAUGUACAUAUUGUUUUGUACCAUAUUGUGUACAGAUUCUAUACUGUAAUGCAGUUUUUUUUGUAUUUCUAUUUUUCGGCAUUAUUCGAUAUUUUGAUUGAUGUCAGCCAUUUUGGGCCAAAGUGUUCUUUAUUUUAUUUUAUUUUUUACUUCCUCUUAUAACACAGUAUCUACUGAAAAUUUUAAUGUAUAAAACAUAAUUGUUUAGCAAAAUGUACCAUGUGUAUGUUCAAUUGUACAGGUUGCUAUUCACUUAUUUUGAAGCGUUUUUUAAUUUUUUUUGGUAUGUUUCAUGGU